rnacentral:rRNA from 1 species
UUGGAGGGCAAGUCUGGUGCCAGCAGCCGCGGUAAUUCCAGCUCCAAUAGCGUAUAUUAAAGUUGUUGUGGUUAAAAAGCUCGUAGUUGAACCUUGGGCCUGGCCGUCCGGUCCGCCUCACCGCGUGUACUGGCUCGGCCGGGCCUUUCCCUCUGUGGAACCCCAUGCCCUUCACUGGGCGUGGCGGGGAAACAGGACUUUUACUGUGAAAAAAUUAGAGUGCUCCAGGCAGGCCUAUGCUCGAAUACAUUAGCAUGGAAUAAUAGAAUAGGACGUGUGGUUCUAUUUUGUUGGUUUCUA